AUUGAACGCUAGCGGGAUGCCUUACACAUGCAAGUCGAACGGAGUGGCGAACGGGUGAGUAAUGUAUCGGAACGUGCCCAGUAGCGGGGGAUAACUACGCGAAAGCGUAGCUAAUACCGCAUACUAUUGGAGCGGCCGAUAUCGGAUUAGCUAGUUGGUGGGGUAACGGCUAACCAAGGCGACGAUCCGUAGCUGGUUUGAGAGGACGGCCAGCCACACUGGGACUGGGAAACGGCCCAGACUCCUACGGGAGGCAGCAGGGGGGAAAUUUGGACAAUGGGGGAAACGCUGGUCCAGCCAUCCCGCGUGUGCGAUGAAGGCCUUCGGGUUGUAAAGGUCUGUUAAUCGGGGCGCGGUACCGGAACAGGAAGCCACGGCUAACUACGUGCCAGCAGCCGCGGUAAUAC
rnacentral:rRNA from 1 species